GAAGAUGUUAGGGACACCUUAUCUCCUAAGAUUCGUCCGUUGAACCCUAAGGUUCUAAAUAUUUCAUCCAUUUCUAUCAAAUCUCUCCUACCCACGAAUUUUCUGCUAUUCCUCUGAGUGAGGUCGCUACUAUUAGUAAACCAGCUAACACUCCCACUCUCACUCAUCUUCAUUCUCUCAAAGCGAGUAUCCCAUUUGAGGGUAACAUUUAAGUUAACCAAUAGGGUACGACCUUCGGAAAUCUCUAGCUUUUGGUUAAUUUGGAGAAAUAAUUUUUUAUUCAUCUCAUUUCCUUAUGAUACUUUAUUGAUCCUUAUGCGUGGAAUUGCUUAAUCAUUGUUAAAACUUUAUUUAUUCAUUCAAAUUCACAUUACAUUAUCCAUUUGGCAUUUAAUUAUGCUUCGCUUAAUCACAUUUAAUCAAUUCUGUAAGUUAACAGUAUAACUUCAAAAUAUGAAUUUUUAUUCAAUAUUCUUUGUAAUUGAAAAAAAAAUUUAUCGCUAUCAUGACUUCUGUCAUGACUUUUCAUCACAUAAGUAUUUUGUGCGCAGUUACUCUAAUUUCUUAUUGUGAUAUUAAACUUCAAUGUGGGCGAAUAUGGGCUCACCUUUCGUAGUUGACCUUUAUGGGGGCAUAACUCAAUUCUCGUAUUCCCUUGACGGAUUGAUCUUGCCUUUGGUAAAAAUUUUGUUGUAGGCGAAAAAGUACUCGAUCAAAAUUUUGUUAUGGUAAAAAGAGGUUUGUUUUUCAUCCUUCCCAUGUUAUCAUCAGAAUUCUCAUUACUGUGACCUUGUUUUAGGUCUAGCCUUGGUUUAACUGUGUCAACAUUCAUGCUUCUCCUAGUACUUGUGAAUUUAUCUUUACUAGCAUGUUUUCCAACUUAUCCUUCAAUUUAUCUUCGGAUACCUACUUUCCUAUACAAGGAUUUUCAAGCAUGACUUUCUUUUUUCUACCAUUAGUAUGGUAUUAACUAUUGGUGCCCUUAGGGCUGCUUUUCUCAAU
rnacentral:lncRNA from 1 species